CACACUUACACACAUACGGACAUACACUAACUCGGGUCACAAUAAAUACCUGCAUAGUCUGAAGUCGUCUUCUGAAUUGACGAAAAUUAGUCGCAUUUCCAUCAAGAUGAGUUCCCCUGAAAGUGAAUUGCCUAACACCACUACUGAUGAAGCUGAGUUAUAUUCAGUCGAAGGGAAAUAUGGUUGGAAAAGCAUGGAUACAAAUGAUAAAUGGGUGUUAUUAGCAAUUACUAUCUGUGGCGUUGUGGUAAUAGCAGUGACCUUGGCGUUUACUGUGGAAUGGUGAACACCGGCAUAAAUGGACUGAUACAGAACACCAGAACCUUUGAUUUAUAUCUUCAAGUAUUUCAGUGGAAGGAAACAAAACAAAUAUUGGACGAUAGGAAAGUUACAAUCUGCCAGGGAAUCUCUUCAUCUAGAAUUGGAUAACCCAAUCUCAAUGGCUGUAUUCAGUUCACGAGUCAUUCCGAACUAGAAGCACUUGGAUUUAUAUUAGGGUUGUAUUUUAUUUAAACCCAAAGUCAUUUAUGUUUCUUUUUUUCAGGGCUAGUGAUUUGUAUUCUUCCAUCUUUGGUGUAAUGUAAUUGUUUUAACACAUCCACAAUGAAAUGCAACAUAACUUUGCGUUGUAUUAAUUCACAACAUGAAUUCAGGAAUUAAGGCCAAAAAUAGUUUGCGUCUUGUCCUAGGGACAAUUAAUGCGCUGACGCGGUUCUAUUUUUUAUUCAUUUAUUUUAUUUCAUUUCCAUUUUAUUCUUUUGGUGUCUUUAUACUUUUUGCUUUGCCCUUCAACGGAAGUUUAAUAGUAAAAAACAAGAAUUGCUUUGUAAUAUAGGUAGCGGACAGAUAACAAUUUAAAAACAAAAAAAGAUUGGAGUAUAAAACAGCAAUCCUAGUCUAGUAUAAUGAAAGGUAUAAUAGUAUAGAUGGACAUAUAUUAUAUAUAUGGAGUGCAACAAUUUGUGUAAAAGUAAACAAAUAAAUCAAGAACAAUGGGUACAAAGGGACAAAUAUAGUCUUGCGAUGAAUAUAACAUAUUACUUUUAGUGCAAAAACAAACUUAGGGUUAUUUAAUACCACAACCGGAACAAAAGCAACAUAUAUGUUCGACGUUUUACAAUUAUUAAAUAAUGUUUUUGAAUACUAAUAUUAAAGGUUGAUUUUGAUAAAAAGAAAAAAGAAACCUGCUGCAUAACCAAUGUACAAUUAGUUUGUAACAAGCUGAACAUAAUCUUUUUCCCUGUGACUUUUACACCGUACACCGAGAAAUAAACGAUAAUCUUUAAUAAAAAA